GAGAGAUUGUUCUCCAGCAGCCUAGUGGCCAUCGUGAGCCUUAAAGCACCAAGGAAGCUAAAGGUUUGCCACUUUAAGAAGGGAACUGAGAUCUGCAACUACAGCUACUCCAACACGAUUCUGGCUGUGAAGCUCAACAGGCAGAGGCUGAUAGUAUGCCUGGAGGAGUCCCUGUACAUCCACAACAUUCGGGACAUGAAGGUGCUGCAUACGAUCAGGGAGACGCCUCCAAACCCUGCAGGCCUGUGUGCGCUGUCAAUCAACAACGACAACUGCUACUUGGCGUACCCCGGGAGCGCGACCAUCGGAGAGGUGCAGGUCUUCGAUACCAUUAAUUUGAGAGCUGCAAACAUGAUUCCGGCUCACGACAGUCCUUUAGCGGCACUGGCCUUUGACGCAAGUGGAACUAAACUUGCCACGGCUUCGGAGAAGGGGACCGUGAUUAGGGUAUUUUCCAUUCCAGAAGGACAAAAACUCUUUGAGUUUCGGAGAGGAGUAAAGAGGUAAAGUACAUGAAUGUCCAGAAUGGAUUCUGGAGGUUGUAUUUGGAUUUCAGUUUUAUGUUAUCUAUGAACAAACAAGUAGAACCCCCAGGAGAAUUCCACACGAGCAUUUCUAGCCCGGCUGGGUCACCGGGUAAGAU
rnacentral:sRNA from 1 species